rnacentral:rRNA from 1 species
CACGUAGGGCGCAAGCGUUGUCCGGAAUUAUUGGGCGUAAAGAGCUUGUAGGCGGUCUGUCGCGUCUGCCGUGAAAUUUCGGGGCUCAACCCCGAACUUGCGGUGGGUACGGGCAGACUAGAGUGAUGUAGGGGAGACUGGAAUUCCUGGUGUAGCGGUGAAAUGCGCAGAUAUCAGGAGGAACACCGAUGGCGAAGGCAGGUCUCUGGGCAUUAACUGACGCUGAGGAGCGAAAGCAUGGGGAGCGAACAGG